rnacentral:rRNA from 1 species
GAUCCUGGCUCAGGAUGAACGCUAGCUACAGGCUUAACACAUGCAAGUCGAGGGGAAACGACAUCGAAAGCUUGCUUUUGAUGGGCGUCGACCGGCGCACGGGUGAGUAACGCGUAUCCAACCUGCCCACCACUUGGGGAUAACCUUGCGAAAGUAAGACUAAUACCCAAUGACACUCCCACGAAGACAUCUGAAGUGGGAAUUAAAGAUUUAUCGGUGAUGGAGUGGGGAUGCGUCUGAUUAG